rnacentral:rRNA from 1 species
AUUGAACGCUGGCGGCAGGCCUAACACAUGCAAGUCGAGCGGAUGAGUGGAGCUUGCUCCAUGAUUCAGCGGCGGACGGGUGAGUAAUGCCUAGGAAUCUGCCUGGUAGUGGGGGACAACGUUUCGAAAGGAACGCUAAUACCGCAUACGUCCUACGGGAGAAAGCGGGGGAUCUUCGGACCUCGCGCCAUUAGAUGAGCCUAGGUCGGAUUAGCUAGUUGGUGAGGUAAUGGCUCACCAAGGCGACGAUCCGUAACUGGUCUGAGAGGAUGAUCAGUCACACUGGAACUGAGACACGGUCCAGACUCCUACGGGAGGCAGCAGUGGGGAAUUUUGGACAAUGGACGCAAGUCUGAUCCAGCCAUUCCGCGUGCAGGAUGAAGGCCCUCGGGUUGUAAACUGCUUUUGUACGGAACGAAAAGGUUUCUAUUAAUACUAGGAGCUCAUGACGGUACCGUAAGAAUAAGCACCGGCUAAC